AGAGUUUGAUCCUGGCUCAGGAUGAACGCUAGCGGCAGGCUUAACACAUGCAAGUCGAGGGGUAGUAGUAGCAAUACUAUGAGACCGGCAAACGGGUGCGGAACACGUACACAAUCUACCUUUAUCUGGGGCAUAGCCCGAAGAAAUUCGGAUUAAUUCCCCAUAAUAUAAUUGGAUGGCAUCAUUUGAUUAUUAAAACUCCGGUGGAUAGAGAUGAGUGUGCGUCCCAUUAGCUAGUUGGUAGGGUAACGGCCUACCAAGGCGACGAUGGGUAGCUGGUGUGAGAGCACGACCAGCCACACGGGCACUGAGACACGGGCCCGACUCCUACGGGAGGCAGCAGUGAGGAAUAUUGGUCAAUGGACGCAAGUCUGAACCAGCCAUGCCGCGUGAAGGAUGAAGGCCUUCUGGGUUGUAAACUUCUUUUAUGUGGGAAGAAAACUACGGUUUCUACUAUAGCCGACGGUACCAUAGGAAUAAGCACCGGCUAACUCCGUGCCAGCAGCCGCGGUAAUACGGAGGGUGCAAGCGUUAUCCGGAUUCACUGGGUUUAAAGGGUGUGUAGGCGGGCUGUUAAGUCAGUGGUGAAAUCUCCGGGCUCAACCCGGAAACUGCCAUUGAUACUAUCAGUCUUGAAUUCUGUUGAGGUGGGCGGAAUAUGUCAUGUAGCGGUGAAAUGCAUAGAUAUGACAUAGAACACCAAUUGCGAAGGCAGCUCACUAAGCAGCGAUUGACGCUGAGGCACGAAAGCGUGGGGAUCAAACAGGAUUAGAUACCCUGGUAGUCC
rnacentral:rRNA from 1 species